rnacentral:rRNA from 1 species
CCUACGGGGGGCUGCAGUGGGGAAUAUUGGACAAUGGGGGGAACCCUGAUCCAGCCAUGCCGCGUGUGUGAAGAAGGCCCUCGGGUUGUAAAGCACUUUCAGUGAGGAAGAACGCCUGGUGGUUAAUACCCAUCAGGAAAGACAUCACUCACAGAAGAAGCACCGGCUAACUCCGUGCCAGCAGCCGCGGUAAUACGGAGGGUGCGAGCGUUAAUCGGAAUUACUGGGCGUAAAGCGCGCGUAGGUGGCUUGAUAAGCCGGUUGUGAAAGCCCCAGGCUCAACCUGGGAACGGCAUCCGGAACUGUCAAGCUAGAGUGCAGGAGAGGAAGGUAGAAUUCCCGGUGUAGCGGUGAAAUGCGUAGAGAUCGGGAGGAAUACCAGUGGCGAAGGCGGCCUUCUGGACUGACACUGACACUGAGGUGCGAAAGCGUGGGUAGCAAACAGGAUUAGAUACCCUAGUAGUC